rnacentral:rRNA from 1 species
UACGGAGGGUGCGAGCGUUGUCCGGAAUCACUGGGCGUAAAGGGCGCGUAGGCGGCUUCUCAAGCGUGUGGUGAAAGUCCGGGGCUCAACCCCGGAUCGGCCGUGCGGACUGGGGAGCUCGAGUUCUGUAGAGGCGGGUGGAAUUCCGGGUGUAGCGGUGGAAUGCGUAGAGAUCCGGAAGAACACCGGUGGCGAAGGCGGCUUCCUGGUCUGCGACUGACGCUGUGGCGCGAAAGCUAGGGGAGCAAACGGG